AUACAAAAUAAAAACAAAACAUCGAUAUUUUUUGUAUCUUUUUUGGGUGAGUCGUUUUCACAAACUUUGGCGAGGGAGUGGAACGACUCUCUUUUUAUUUUGUU
rnacentral:antisense_RNA from 1 species